rnacentral:rRNA from 1 species
AUUGAACGCUGGCGGCAGGCCUAACACAUGCAAGUCGAGCGGAAGAAGGGAGCUUGCUCCUGGAUUCAGCGGCGGACGGGGGAGUAAUGCCUAGGAAUCUGCCUGGUAGUGGGGGAUAACGUCCGGAAACGGGCGCUAAUACCGCAUACGUCCUGAGGGAGAAAGUGGGGGAGCUUCGGACCUCACGCUAUCAGAUGAGCCUAGGUCGGAUUAGCUAGUUGGUGGGGUAAAGGCCUACCAAGGCGACGAUCCGUAACUGGUCUGAGAGGAUGAUCAGUCACACUGGAACUGAGACACGGUCCAGACUCCUACGGGAGGCAGCAGUGGGGAAUAUUGGACAAAGGGCGAAAGCCUGAUCCAGCCAUGCCGCGUGUGUGAAGAAGGUCUUCGGAUUGUAAAGCACUUUAAGUUGGGAGGAAGGGCAGUAAGUUAAUACCUUGCUGUUUUGACGUUACCAACAGAAUAAGCACCGGCUAACUUCGUG